UACGUAGGGGGCAAGCGUUGUCCGGAUUUAUUGGGCGUAAAGAGCGUGUAGGCGGCUAGGUAGGUCCGUUGUGAAAACUCGAGGCUUAACCUCGAGACGUCGAUGGAAACCAUCUAGCUAGAGUCCGGAAGAGGAGAGUGGAAUUCCUGGUGUAGCGGUGAAAUGCGCAGAUAUCAGGAAGAACACCCGUGGCGAAGGCGGCCUGCUGGGCAGUGGCUGACACUGAGGCGCGACAGCGUGGGGAGCAAACAGG
rnacentral:rRNA from 1 species